GUCCAGAACUCUCGGCAGUCAGGGUAGCCAGCUGGAAAGCUCCCAGGAUCAUCGCCAGCCGCUGUGGGUUCUGGAGUGAUUUACGAGGGUAGUUCAAGACGGAUGGAGGUACCCUGAUGAAGCUGCUCCUGGGGGUGAUGCUGCUGCCUGCAGUGAUGACUGAAGAUCUAUGAUGGGCUCCCUUUGUAGGGGUAUUUGAGAUUCGCUGCCCCCAUGGACUGGCUGCCAGUCCAGGAAAGCUGCAUGGGUCGUGAAAAAAUAGUUUACCUUUUCCCCUUAUAUUAGUACCAGUCAUAAUCAAACGUUUUCAGGGUUUAAUUGGACAUAUCAAAAUCCAGCCUAGAGAGGGGCAAGCAAUCCCUUUAAUGUUUGGC
rnacentral:lncRNA from 1 species